rnacentral:misc_RNA from 1 species
GUGAAUCAUCGAAUUUUUGAACGCAUAUUGCACUCUCUGGUAUUCCGGAGAGUAUGCCUGUUUGAGGGUCGGUUUAAAUGAAAAUCGGUGUGGUUGCUGCCUUUCGUGGUGACGCAGGGGAUGUGGGGCGUCUUGAUUUUGGUUAAGUGACCUAAUAUAUUGGAUGAUAUUUUCGAAUGUAUUUAAAUGAUUUUAUAUAUGU